UUGGGGAUGGAAACAGAGGAGCUCAGCAGGAGGGUGGAAGAGCUCCUGGCAAUCCAGCACUGAUGGAGCGAUGCGAGGACACCUCCCAGAAUGCCACUGGCUCCAUUCUGGCAAAGAUUCAGGACCACCGGGAGAGAGUCAUAGUGUACACCAGUCAUGCACUUUCCAUACUGAAAGACAGCAGGCUGUCUAUAACUGGGAGGCGGCUUGUAUACCAGUAAUGUAUACAGGAAAGUAAUGUUGCCUCUUCAGCCCCGCCUUCCGGAUUUCGGCCACGCCUCUUCAGCCCCGCCUUCCGGACUUCGGCCACGCCUCUUCAGCCCCGCCUUCCGGAUUCCGGCUACGCCUCUUCCGACCUCUGCACUGGUCCUGGCUUCCGGUUUCCCGAAGAGAAAGGGCCGCUGUUCGUCACCCCUGGAGCUCUGCUCAUUGUUUUGGAUUAUUGUGGCUUGAUUUCUUGGUUUGAUUUAUCGUGUUUGACAGUUUUGGUUUUUGAUUUUCUGAUUUUCGCCUCGCCCUUCUCUGUACCUUUGCUUCGGUUUGAUUGCUUUUCUGGAUUGGUGUCCCGCCUGUUGAUUGACUACUCUUUUGCUUGCCCCCUCGGACACUGUUGCCUCGGACUGUGUAUUUUGCUGUGUGUGUUUGUAACUUGGUGCGUAAGGAGUGACUGCCUUUUUUGUUCUGUGAGACGUGUUGGUUUAUGGUUUGUUUGGUUAGGGAGAUAGGUUCUAGUAUUGUUGUUUUGUUUCUAUUUGUUUUGUUGCAAUUAGGUUUAGAUUAGUCUUGGGACCUGUUCAUUAGUUGUUUUGUUUCUUGUUUUGGCCUGGGUCACUCCUGAAGUCCUGUUGCACCUGCUGUGUUGUGAAGUGUCCAUGUGGUAUGAAUAAAGUCUAAAAAAAUACAAAAAAAACGCUUUGUUUGUUGUGUUCCCUAUUUCCGUUCCAUGUUUGUCAUUUCCUCCCCUAACCCUUUCCUUUCUGUUGGGCUCCAAACCUAGACUGGAGCUUGUGACAUUAUAAGCAGAAAUCGUACAGCAAAAUGCAAGAUACCUGUGUGCAUUCAGUCUGUUGAACUGGUUUUAUCUCCUCUGAGGGACUUAAAAUUUCCUCCUCAGCACCUGCAGUGAGUCCCAGCUGCAGCAGUGCAGUCACU